rnacentral:lncRNA from 1 species
GGGGGAUUAUUUUCCUUUAGUUUUCUUUUUUAAUUUUUUUCCACAUGUAUUUUUUAUUUAAAUUUUUUUCAAAUAUUUUUUCCACAUGUCAGAAAAGUGCCACCAUGUUAAUUUUCGGCUGCCACAGUGGCAUUUCGGCGCCGGCGUAAUAAAAAAUUGGUCACCGGAAAAAAUUGAGACAAAAAAUGAAAAGUUAUGUAUUUA